UGGUUGCUUCUUCCCCAUCUUCCAUGGACGUCCCACCUGUUCCCCCAACAUCCCUCUCCAUCAUCACCAUCAAAUUGAAGUGUCCUCACUGCGACAAAUACAUUUUGCUGCUGCACGUCUCUCACCGUAUCAGAAUCCUAGAAUCCUUUGCAUCAUGCUGCGGAAAAUCAUGGUGCCACAACGCUUCAUGAAGAUCACCACAAUGUGUGUUGCCAUCUUCCGGAACCUACAAUAGCACCUCACUAAUCAUCUUCACCGCUGUUUCUGUCCGAACAUGAUCAUCACUGAAAUGGAAAUUGGGUGCUGCUCCAUUGAUCGUAGGCCCUGUCGUCACCUGUCCACGCAGGCUACCCGUCAUCAUCCUCCUCUGUAUACAGCACAUGGUCAUGUCCAUGAUCAUCUCUGAAAAGAAUCACCACCGUCCAGCAAUACUACCGCGGAUGGCAACAACGUUCCCAUUGGUCCUUUGAGAUCUGUGUUAAAUCCUUGGAUUAACAUGUCCUUCAUAUACAUGCACGUGCUUCUGAAAAAUUUGGUGAAUAUAGGAUCCAAAAUGAAAGAGAUAUAAUCUUAUUCGUGCUCGCUGUCUCUGUUGUUCAACAGCACUGCAUCUCAGUGGCAGUGUUAGUCCCCAUUAACCGUUUAUUAAAUAGUCAAACCCUUUUACCACAGAGUAGAUAUCAUCCCUGAUCACACCUCUGUAAGACGGUUUUGUCAUAGGAGUUGAGACACCAAAUAUAUCAUCAUCUUCGUGAACACUAUCCCUGCAGUCCUGGCAGCUAGGCUGAUCUGAAUUGUAUUGGCGUUCCCCAUUAAUCGAAAAGCCCAAUCCUGAAACCCUUUGACCAA